GCCGCGCGGAGGUCCCGGCGUCUCGGUGGUCCCGCCGCGCCAGGUCUCGCCGCGUGAGGCAGUCCUGCCCUGUGGCGCUAGGACCCAGAUCUGGAGAGUCUCUAGGGUCGGUACGGUGGCUCCGGCCAUCGCCAAAGCGCUUCCUGGCCGUAAGGAGUACGGAGCUGGGCAGGUGUGGGCGCGAGUGUAGAGGAGGAAACUGAGACCCGGAGGGGCGGGCGGGCCUAGAGCUGCAGGCGUUGGCUGCACCUGUUUUGGGGUGGGGCGAGCCAGAGGCCACCGUGGCGUCUAGGGCCUUCAGGAGAGCAGGCGGGGAGUCCCAGAGCUGUCGACUCAGUCUCCCGGCACAGGCAGGGGCCUGCUUGCCCUCCCUCCCUGCCCCUGCAGAGACGUAGGCGAGAGGAAGGGGCCAGGCGACAGCGCAGGAGGUGGCCGAGCGUGUAGGUGGGACUCUCUCAGGACCGCGGGGCCCCUAACUCUGCGCAACAGAGGGCUGACCCCCACAUUCCAGGCGCCUCUUAGGGCCACCGGGAAUGAAGAGGAAUGUGUCCCCCACUCCCAGACGCUCGACUCUGCUGCUGAUGACGGAGACUUGACCCUGCUGGUGCCCCUGCCAGCCCGUGGGAGAGCCUCCCUCAGGAGACCUCAGGGCCAGGCACAAGACAACUAGGGACAGCCCCUAUGCCCCAUAGCUCAACUGAAGUCAUUCAAUCCUAAACCUGCCCACCCAGCCUUGCCCGCUCCUUUGGAAACCACAGUAAAGGCUCCCUCGGCCUCAGGACCAACCCUCGUACUUGCCCGGAAGUACGCCCACCAUGGCAUGGCUUGUCCACUCUUCUUGAGAACUGUGGGAAGACUAAGGCAGCUCAAAGGAAAGUGCUUAUCCAGGGGCAGAGUGUGAUGAUGGUGAGCUGCAUGGAGGACCCAGUCUUCCUUCCACCUCACCGCCCAGAACUCUGCCUGCAAAGGGCAGGACAAACAGCUGAAACUUGGGACAGGAAGCAUUUCUUGGGGGAAAAGGAGCUGGCAAAAUGAUGGUGGUGGGGGGUGGGGUAGCUCUAUGCACCCCGGCUGCAGGAGUCUGGUGGGGACUCACAGGGAGGGGGUGGGAGACAGAAAUAGAGGCGAGGCAGGGAAACAGUAGGAGACACAGAGUCCCAGAGGAGGGCGGGAGGGGAGAGAGUGGGAGAGGCAGGGGAGUAUGAGACAGGAACAGCAAGGCUGGCAAGUGGGCACCAGCCAGCAGUGAGAGCUAACCAGGAGGUACUUGUGACCUGCUAUGCACCUGGGAGGCCCAGCAACUAGUCAGAAAGAGGAACAAUGCGACCCCAUGAGGACAUGCUGGAAUAGCACGUUGGCAGUUC